UGAGUGAUUUAGUUCUUAAAAGUGGUUAAUUACAAAAUUAUAGUUAGAAUCUUGAGAAUCAGGGGAAAGUAUAUAGGAGUUGUAGAAGAUAAUUAAGGUACCAGACUGUGAUAGUCAUGAGCCGAGGGCCAUCGUUGUGAUAGUUGUGAGCCGGGAUAAGCUUGGUGCUACCUCUUUUCUUUUGUUUGUUAUUUUCUUUGAAU
rnacentral:lncRNA from 1 species